ACAUUUACAGUUUUUCUUUGCACAUGUGUCUGUAUUUCUAAGAAUAUUCCUUGGUAAUCAUAUUGGCCCGUCUCCGAAGCUUUUGCAGUUGUCUCCAUUAAAAAACAACAUAUUUUUUCCGUUAGUUUGACAAAAAACUUAACUCUGGUUUAUGGCCACUCUGGUACAUGUUCCGUCCUUUUUACUAAGCUACUUUUCGUGUUGCUACAUUUACUAAUACAACAAUGCAAGUACUUAAAGGUAUAUAAUACUUGAAUGUUUGGUAUAGUUUUGGUUAGCGUCCUCACUUUUUCGGCCGAGUUUUGACUCACUUCCUGUUUGGUACAGUUGGUUAAACUUGGGUUAGCGUUGUUUUGUUCUGUUUUAUUAAUUGUUUACCUAGUUGUGAUUUGAUAUUUUCGAACGUUCUCGGUAGUUUUGGUACAAUUUCGGCACGAAACCUCUGGUUUAUUUUAUUGUGGGUUUGUUUUUGUUUUUUUACUGACGUGCGUUUAUGUGUUUCAAUGGAGCACAAGGCCUGUGGUCGCGGUACUGUUUAAAGUGAUAUGCAAAUAUAGUUAUGUAACAAGCACGUGAUUGGUGGAGCCUUUUACUAGCGGGUGGUGAUUGGCUACUGGUCAUAAUUUGAAUUUUCUACAACUUUCCUCUCUUGUUAAGCGAUAUGUUAAGCUAUUUUGUUCUUAUUUACUGUACAACACUUUUUUGUUUUAAUAUACAUUCUAUCCAGCUCUAAAUGGUCUUAUAACUUAUAAUUUGGUUUUUUGCACAUAUUAUUACGGUGGUUUGCGUAUUAAAUGCACUCUCUGAAUGCACUAUUUUUCUCUCGUAAUCGACGAUCUAGUUGUGCUUGUGUUUGAGAAAACAUGCGAAUGUUUUGGACAAAUCUCAAGGAAAUAGUUCAAGUUAGCGUUCAAUAAAUUGAUUUGUGAAUUCGAGGUUAGCUGUUUUUUUUUUAUUAACGCUUUACUGUUAAGUGUAAAGUAUUCAUUGUUUUGCUAUUACAGUAUUUAGUUUUACACUUUAAGCUUUUUACGGCAGUCGUCGUAUUUUAAUAUACAUUGAAGUCUGUGUAUUUUUGUAGUUUUGCAAAUCUUUACCGGAAAACGGAAGUGGUUGGCGGACAAUCAAAACACCUGGCUUUAAUUUCUUCGUCCAGCACACAUUCCCUGGUGUUAUAACUGUCAAAAAAGAGACGGCACGUUUCAAUGAAGAAGAUGAGGAUGAUGAGGAGAACGACGAAAACCCAGGAUGUGACAUUCACUACGGUAUGAGCAGGUAAGACACAAGUGCACUUUUUGUUUACAUGUCGAUCUGUAGCAAAAAAAACCCAAAACAA